AAUGACAAAGCCAAAAUUCAGGCCUUGCCCAAGCUGCCAAGUCCGUCAGCAGGCCAACCGCAAAAACAUGCAGUGCUUGUUUUGCCACACUGCCAAGCAAGCGGUUAUUAAAAACUGCAAAAAUUAAUGAUGACUGGGGCCAGAGGGUCGUCAAAAACAAAAAUGCAUCUCGGGUGGUGGCCUCUGCCCAAAUAGCUGUCCAAAAACUUUCUGCCUUGGGCUAUAUGCCCAUAUUAUUUAUCAGCCAGAGGCACAAGGGCACAGGCAAGUUGAUGGCAGAUGUAGUCACGCAUCUGCCACCGACGCAAAACAACACACGUUUCUUAACCAGCAUGAAGAGGGCAUAUGACUUCAUAAUCAAACUGGAUGGUAAGAUAAGUUUUAUGUAUAGUUCAUUAGUGGUUGUCGUUGAUUUCUUUGACAAUGUGUACUGAAUUUAUAUUUUUGCUAACUUCACAACAGAUGUGCCCCAGCCCCAGCCCCAGCAAGACCAGCCCCUCCACCUAGACCAACCCCUACCCCAAGACCAGCCCCCUGCCCCUAGACCAGCUAAUCCCCACAAGACCAGCCCCCAGACCAGCCCCAGCAAGACCAGCCCCUAGACCAGCCCCAGCAAGACCAGCCCCUGCCCCUAGACCAGCUAAUCCCACAAGACCAGCCCCAGCAAGACCAGCCCCUGCCCCUAGACCAGCUAAUCCCACAAGACCAGCCUACCCCAACAGACCAGCAAAUUAUUAAACUUGAACUAUUUACGAUCGACUCACAGGCUCAGCAGCAUGUGGAGCCUCUACCACCCAGGAAAAGACAAAGUAAGUAAUCUUGCAUUGCACCACAUCUGUAAAUUUGUCCUAUGUUUUUUUGCAAUCAGUGCACAAUAUAAAACAAGUUACACAUGGUGAAUUUCACCUCUUUUAAUUAAUUAAGCCACUCCUCCAAGAUACUGAAUAUACAAUUCUCAACCUUUUUUUCCCUUGCAUCUUAAGCCCCACUAUCCACCCCGGGCCUACCAUCCACCCCAGGCCAAGGCAAACGAGCCCCACCAUCCAUCCAACCUCAACUAAAGAAAAGACAAAGUAAGUAAUCUUGCCUUGCACCCCAUCUGUAAAUUGGUCCCAUGGUUUUGUAAUCAUUGUAUUAAUAUAAAAUAAGUUAACCAAUGUGAAUUUCACCCCCUUCUAUUAAUUAAGCCACUUCCCCAAGAUACUGAAUAUAUAAUUCUUAAUCUUUUCCCCUUGCACCCUAAGCCACAGGUAAAGGAGCCACACAAGCCCCACCCUCUACCCUGGCCAAAAAGAAGAAAACAAAAAGCAAGUAGACAUUCUUUGCACCCCAUGUGUAUAUUUGUUUCUAUUCUUUGCACCCCAUGUGUAUAUCAGCAGCCAUGUGUUGGGUGUAAAUGUGUUUUUGCAUGUAGCCCCCUUUAAUUGGACCAAACUCAGGGUGUAUUCACACUUGGUCUUUUUUUCAGCCCUCAAAGUGAACUAAGAACAGUGACUCAUAUAUGAACACCUCAAGCAAACUCAGACCCAUUUGAAAUGAACCAAACGUUUUUUUGCCUUUGUCAUUUAAGGUUGCAAAUGCAGUCGACAGACAAUUUAUCCAUACGAUAAAAUAUUGGAAAGACGGAUGAAUGGGGUAAGAUGUAGAACCAUAUUUUUCAUUAGGCUGUCUGAUUAUCUCUUGACUCAUGUCUGUCUCAUCUUUCAAUCCACAUGUGACAAAACAGUAACACUGAGCAGUAG
ensembl:lncRNA